CGCGUAGGCGGUUUGGACAGUUAGGCGUGAAAUUCCUGGGCUCAACCUGGGGACUGCGCUUAAUACAUCCAGACUUGAGUGUGGAAGAGGGUUGUGGAAUUCCCAGUGUAGAGGUGAAAUUCGUAGAUAUUGGGAAGAACACCGGUGGCGAAGGCGGCAACCUGGUCCAUGACUGACGCUGAGGCGCGAAAGCGUGGGAGCAAACA
rnacentral:rRNA from 1 species